GAUGAAGAACGCAGCGAAAUGCGAUAAGUAAUGUGAAUUGCAGAAUUCAGUGAAUCAUCGAAUCUUUGAACGCACAUUGCGCCCGCCAGUAUUCUGGCGGGCAUGCCUGUUCGAGCGUCAUUUCAACCAUCAAGCCCCCGGCUUGUGUUGGGGACCUGCGGCUGCCGCAGGCCCUGAAAACCAGUGGCGGGCUCGCUGUCACACCGAGCGUAGUAGAUUUUCAUCUCGCUCAGGGCGUGCUGCGGGUUCCGGCCGUAAAAAGCCUUAUUUACCCAAGGUUGACCUCGGAUCAGGUAGGAAGACCCGCUGAACUUAAGCAUAUCAAUAAGCGAGGA
rnacentral:misc_RNA from 1 species